AGCGAACGCUGGCGGCAGGCCUAACACAUGCAAGUCGAACGAUCCUUCGGGAUAGUGGCGGACGGGUGAGUAACACGUGGGAACGUGCCCUUUGGUUCGGAACAACUCAGGGAAACUUGAGCUAAUACCGAAUGUGCCCUUCGGGGGAAAGAUUUAUCGCCAUUGGAGCGGCCCGCGUCUGAUUAGCUAGUUGGUGAGGUAACGGCUCACCAAGGCGACGAUCAGUAGCUGGUCUGAGAGGGUGAUCAGCCACACUGGGACUGAGACACGGCCCAGACUCCUACGGGAGGCAGCAGUGGGGAAUCUUGCGCAAUGGGCGAAAGCCCGACGCAGCCAUGCCGCGUGAAUGAUGAAGGUCUUAGGAUUGUAAAAUUCUUUCACCGGGGACGAUAAUGACGGUACCCGGAGAAGAAGCCCCGGCUAACUUCGUGCCAGCCGCCGCCGUAACAC
rnacentral:rRNA from 1 species